GAUGAACGCUGGCGGCGUGCCUAAUACAUGCAAGUCGAGCGAACGGACGAGAAGCUUGCUUCUCUGAUGUUAGCGGCGGACGGGUGAGUAACACGUGGAUAACCUACCUAUAAGACUGGGAUAACUUCGGGAAACCGGAGCUAAUACCGGAUAAUAUUUUGAACCGCAUGGUUCAAAAGUGAAAGACGGUCUUGCUGUCACUUAUAGAUGGAUCCGCGCUGCAUUAGCUAGUUGGUAAGGUAACGGCUUACCAAGGCAACGAUGCAUAGCCGACCUGAGAGGGUGAUCGGCCACACUGGAACUGAGACACGGUCCAGACUCCUACGGGAGGCAGCAGUAGGGAAUCUUCCGCAAUGGGCGAAAGCCUGACGGAGCAACGCCGCGUGAGUGAUGAAGGUCUUCGGAUCGUAAAACUCUGUUAUUAGGGAAGAACAUAUGUGUAAGUAACUGUGCACAUCUUGACGGUACCUAAUCAGAAAGCCACGGCUAACUACGUGCCAGCAGCCGCGGUAAUACGUAGGUGGCAAGCGUUAUCCGGAAUUAUUGGGCGUAAAGCGCGCGUAGGCGGUUUUUUAAGUCUGAUGUGAAAGCCCACGGCUCAACCGUGGAGGGUCAUUGGAAACUGGAAAACUUGAGUGCAGAAGAGGAAAGUGGAAUUCCAUGUGUAGCGGUGAAAUGCGCAGAGAUAUGGAGGAACACCAGUGGCGAAGGCGACUUUCUGGUCUGUAACUGACGCUGAUGUGCGAAAGCGUGGGGAUCAAACAGGAUUAGAUACCCUGGUAGUCCACGCCGUAAACGAUGAGUGCUAAGUGUUAGGGGGUUUCCGCCCCUUAGUGCUGCAGCUAACGCAUUAAGCACCCCGCCUGGGGAGUACGACCGCAAGGUUGAAACUCAAAGGAAUUGACGGGGACCCGCACAAGCGGUGGAGCAUGUGGUUUAGUUCGAAGCAACGCGAAGAACCUUACCAAAUCUUGACAUCCUUUGACAACUCUAGAGAUAGAGCCUUCCCCUUCGGGGGACAAAGUGACAGGUGGUGCAUGGUUGUCGUCAGCUCGUGUCGUGAGAUGUUGGGUUAAGUCCCGCAACGAGCGCAACCCUUAAGCUUAGUUGCCAUCAUUAAGUUGGGCACUCUAAGUUGACUGCCGGUGACAAACCGGAGGAAGGUGGGGAUGACGUCAAAUCAUCAUGCCCCUUAUGAUUUGGGCUACACACGUGCUACAAUGGACAAUACAAAGGGCAGCGAAACCGCGAGGUCAAGCAAAUCCCAUAAAGUUGUUCUCAGUUCGGAUUGUAGUCUGCAACUCGACUACAUGAAGCUGGAAUCGCUAGUAAUCGUAGAUCAGCAUGCUACGGUGAAUACGUUCCCGGGUCU
rnacentral:rRNA from 1 species